rnacentral:rRNA from 1 species
CUGGCUCAGAUUGAACGCUGGCGGCAGGCUUAACACAUGCAAGUCGAGCGGAAACGAUGAUAGCUUGCUAUCAGGCGUCGAGCGGCGGACGGGUGAGUAAUACUUAGGAAUCUACCUAGUAGUGGGGGAUAGCACGGGGAAACUCGUAUUAAUACCGCAUACGACCUACGGGAGAAAGGGGGCAGUUUACUGCUCUCGCUAUUAGAUGAGCCUAAGUCGGAUUAGCUAGAUGGUGGGGUAAAGGCCUACCAUGGCGACGAUCUGUAGCUGGUCUGAGAGGAUGAUCAGCCACACCGGGACUGAGACACGGCCCGGACUCCUACGGGAGGCAGCAGUGGGGAAUAUUGGACAAUGGGGGAAACCCUGAUCCAGCCAUGCCGCGUGUGUGAAGAAGGCCUUUUGGUUGUAAAGCACUUUAAGCAGUGAAGAAGACUCCGUGGUUAAUACCCACGGACGAUGACAUUAGCUGCAGAAUAAGCACCGGCUAACUCUGUGCCAGCAGCCGCGGUAAUACAGAGGGUGCAAGCGUUAAUCGGAAUUACUGGGCGUAAAGGGAGCGUAGGUGGCUCUAUAAGUCAGAUGUGAAAUCCCCGGGCUCAACCUGGGAACUGCAUCUGAAACUGUAGAGCUAGAGUAUGUGAGAGGAAGGUAGAAUUCCAGGUGUAGCGGUGAAAUGCGUAGAGAUCUGGAGGAAUACCGAUGGCGAAGGCAGCCUUCUGGCAUAAUACUGACACUGAGGCUCGAAAGCGUGGGUAGCAAACAGGAUUAGAUACCCUGGUAGUCCACGCCGUAAACGAUGUCUACUAGUCGUUGGGUCCCUUGAGGACUUAGUGACGCAGCUAACGCAAUAAGUAGACCGCCUGGGGAGUACGGCCGCAAGGUUAAAACUCAAAUGAAUUGACGGGGGCCCGCACAAGCGGUGGAGCAUGUGGUUUAAUUCGAUGCAACGCGAAGAACCUUACCUGGUCUUGACAUAUCUAGAAUCCUGCAGAGAUGCGGGAGUGCCUUCGGGAAUUAGAAUACAGGUGCUGCAUGGCUGUCGUCAGCUCGUGUCGUGAGAUGUUGGGUUAAGUCCCGCAACGAGCGCAACCCUUGUCCUUAGUUACCAGCGGGUUAAGCCGGGAACUCUAAGGAUACUGCCAGUGACAAACUGGAGGAAGGCGGGGACGACGUCAAGUCAUCAUGGCCCUUACGACCAGGGCUACACACGUGCUACAAUGGUAGGUACAGAGGGCAGCUACACAGCGAUGUGAUGCGAAUCUCAAAAAGCCUAUCGUAGUCCAGAUUGGAGUCUGCAACUCGACUCCAUGAAGUAGGAAUCGCUAGUAAUCGCGGAUCAGAAUGCCGCGGUGAAUACGUUCCCGGGCCUUGUACACACCGCCCGUCACACCAUGGGAGUUGAUUGCACCAGAAGUGGAUAGCUUAACCUUCGGGGAGGCGUUCACCACGGUGUGGUUGAUGACUGGGGUGAAGUCGUAACAAGGUAGCCGUAGGGGAACCUGCGGCUG